GUCAAUGGCCAUGCCACCCUGAACAUGCCCAAUCUUGUCUGAUCUCAGAAGCUAAGCAGGGUCGGGUCUGGUUAGUACUUGGAUGGGAGACCACCUAGGAAGACCAGGUGCUGUAGGCG
rnacentral:rRNA from 1 species